UAAAAAAAAAUUGAAUCGCAAUUUCCCGUCGAUAUGCACAACUACAUAGUAUGUCCUUAUUAUCUGAAAAGGUUUCGUGAAAUUCUGUUGUGUGGUAUGAGAGGAGUUGCGAUGACAAACUGUUGCAGUAGUACAUUAAAGUAAAUAAGUUCAAAGGGGCGUAACUCUAGAAAAAAAUUGAAUCACAAUUUCCGUCGAUAUGCACAACUACAUAGUAUGUCCUUAUUAUCUGAAAAAGGUUUCGUGAAAUUCUGUUGUGUGGUUUGAGAGGAGUUGCGCGAUGACAAACUGUUGCAGUAGUACAUUAAAGUAAAUAAGUUCAAAGGGGCGUAACUCCUAGAAAAAAAAUGAAUCGCAAUUUCCUAUCGAUAUGCACAACUACAUAGUAUGUCCUUAUUAUCUGAAAAGGUUUCGUGAAAUUCUGUUGUGUGGUUUGAGAGGAGUUGCGAUGACAAACUGUUGCAGUAGUACAUUAAAGUAAAUAAGUUCAAAGGGGCGUAACUCCUAGAAAAAAAAAUGAAUCGCAAUUUCCCAUCGAUAUGCACAACUACAUAGUAUGUCCUUAUUAUCUGAAAAGGUUUCGUGAAAUUCUGUUGUGUGGUUUGAGAGGAGUUGCGAUGACAAACUGUUGCAGUAGUACAUUAAAGUAAAUAAGUUCAAAGGGGCGUAACUCCUAGAAAAAAAAAUUGAAUCGCAAUUUCCAUCAAUAUGCACAACUCAUAGUAUGUCCUUAUUAUCUGAAAAGGUUUCGUGAAAUUCUGUUGUGUGGUUUGAGAGGAGUUGCGAUGACAAACUGUUGCAGUAGUACAUUAAAGUAAAUAAGUUCAAAGGGGCCUAACUCAUAGAAAAAAAAUUGAAUCGCAAUUUCCCGUCGAUAUGCACAACUACAUAGUAUGUCCUUAUUAUCUGAAAAGGUUUCG
rnacentral:lncRNA from 1 species